rnacentral:lncRNA from 7 species
ACACAGCCUGCAGAAGCCAGCUCUGAGCUGGGUGAUCUGGGUCUCUCCAUUUGAGAGUGUACAGGAGCCUGCAUGAUUCCUCUGAUCCCUGUGCUUUGUUCUCCACCUGCAUCUGCAGUUGUUGCAGUAAGGUAAGUCCCAUUUUUGUGGCUACGGAGAAAUGUUUGAGAAAUGAUCAGCCUCAGAUGAGUCCAGAAAUUUGGUUUCUUGAACAGGAAGCCAACAAGGUGAUCAGUUCAGCAUGUGAGUAUCUUCUUCUGCAUGUUCUCACACAGCACUGAGCCCAAGGGCAUGAGCAGAUGUUCAAGGUGGUGAGAUUUAAGAGCUCUUAAUGAAGAUUUCUGCCCCAACAGAUCAGGCAGAGCAGCUGCUUGCAAGUACUCAAAGAUGUCAAGUUACAGGACUGAAGAACAAAGCCUCUGCUGGCCUUUUGAGAGCUCUGUUACUAACCAAAACCUCUGGUGGAUGAGAGAGAACAACAACAGUGUCAAUGACCCUGAGUCACUUCUUGGGUGUGUGGUAUGUUGAGCUGCCCCAUAAUCCAUGAAAGAAGGAAUUGAAACUCCAUAUUUACCAGACUGAAUGAAACAUCUUGUUUGAAACUGGAAGUGAAAUAAUCUGCUUAAUAUUAUGUUAAUUCACAUCAUUGCUUUAAAAACAAAUGAAGAAAAUAACAAUAAUUUUGUUCUGCUCCUUUUGCUCCUACAGCUUAAAGUUGUAACUGCAAGGAAAACACAGCUGUGGAAAGGCAUGACAGUAUGUUAUGUUACUGUUUUAUAGGGAACUUUAUUUGUGGCUCAUGGAGAGAGAGGCUGGCAGGAGGAUUGUGGGCGCGCUGGAUAUAGUGCUCACUGGGAGGGAGGCUGCACUCCUACACAAGGGCUGCAUCUUUGGUUCACUCACAUUAGACAUUGUUCUCUUGUCAGUUGGGCAUGUGUUACAGCAACUGACUGCUGUGGAAGUGUGGGAAGAGUGAUAUUUGCCUUCCAUGUGACACUUUGGGUUUGAUGAUGGAGAAUAAGGUACCUGCAAAUCAUAACUGCAAAUCAUAACUGUUCAUAACAGAACCAUAACUGCUUCUGGGGAUCUUAGUCUCAAGAACCGAUGCUUUUGGAAAGCUCUGCUUAGGAACUGAAACUGUAAGGAACUUAGAAAUAUUCAUUUUUGUUCCCUUUCAGUAGGGCACGAACUAAAGUGUGGUUUGUGAGGGAGAGCACAGACAUCUUCACUGGUGAGCUAGUGCUUUGUCUUUGCAUGGUAAAUUUUACUCAUGCCUGGCCUACCUCAAGAACAGGUGACCGAGCACUCUGAUGGAUGGAAGCUUGAACAUCAGAACUCUCCAUUACCUGAAAAACUACAAACGCAGCUUUCACUUGGCUGCAGUGCUGCCACAAAUUGACUUCUCUAAAGGGUGAUAUCACUGGCUUCAGCACCAAGUGAACCAGGUCAACUUCAAUAUUGUAGAAAACCUUUAUUUUUUAGAAGUACAGCAGAUAUCCUAACACUGUGAUUCCUCCUAACAAGCCAUAUUUAAUCUAGUAAAAUAAUCUGUGUUUUCCUGUGUAACAGGGAAAUUGUAUAAGCUGUGUAACAAUCCUUGUCUUUCUCACUGCCAUACAUAGCUGCCUAGUAAACAAGGGAGAAAUUGAUAGUAAAAUUAGGUAGUGGUCCCAGAAAGAGGCGAAUGAUGCUUGGCCAUUAACUGAUUGAAUAGCUAGGGCUUGUCUGUCCUUAAAAUGCCACAGACUGAUAAAUGCAAGCUGUGGCCAAAAGACGUGCUCAUAUAGCCUUUUCGCUUUAAUUAAAAUUGAUGAAGACAUAAAUAAUUAAGCUGCACUCAGUCUGCAUAGGCAAGGCAAAAUAGUUAUAUUAGUGCUCAGGGAAGCUUGCUAUGCUAGGCAGUUGGCUGCUUCCCUUCAGAUGAUACGCUCUGUCAAUGGCAGUUAUGGGCUGUGUCUGAAGCUUUGAAGAGAGAUCCAUCACCUGUGACUUCAAAAAUGAUUUAGUCUGUUGGAAACUGUUUGUUGCAUCAGAGGCCUCAAGUGUGCAUACAUGAACACUGUCAAGAAUGGGAAAUUAAGAAAGAGUUUAAGGAGAAGAAAAGCAUGUAUGAAUGCUAUGAUUUCAAGCUGCUUUUCUAGAUGUCAAAGAUGUCAAUCUAACAAGUAAGCAGCGUGGUAUUCAUUCAGUGGAGGAGGUUAAAAUUGAUACUAAAACAUAUGUUAGAAGUCAACUAUUAAUCGCUUAAUGCUUAGUAAUCAAUUGCCACCCACUUCCAUAGUUUGGUAAUGUCUCAUUUUAACUUGCUCGCAAUAUAAACUUCCAAAGACAAAUUAAAGAAACAUCAAUUCUGUGCGUGCUCCCUCUUCUGUGAGGGAAGAGAUGGAUCCAAAAUAUAAAUGUAUGUAUGCAGAUCUUUGUAGACUGGUUAUUAUUUGUACAAGUUUUUUUGAAAGUAUAGGUAUUUGACCUUUCCAGGUUCAGACCUAGCUGAAUUUGUAAUUCAUCUUCACGUAUUGAAAAGGACAGACAAAAUGUUUUCUUCCUCUAGAGGUAAUGUUGGCUGUAAUUUGAAGAAAUUAUGCAAAGGGCAAAAUGUGCAGUCAUACGGUAUUAGAUUGUGUCAUACAAUAUUGGACUCGAGAAGCUUUAUGAAUACCUUCUCAAGUGCUAUCAGAAAUCAUCAUUUAAACCCUUGCUUAGCCUUCACAUGUGUAUUAAGACCCCUGUUUUGAUUAAAUAAAAAUAGUUACAAGCAAUAUGCAAGAGAAUUCUUGUAGGUACCAAAACCAGGUUUUAGUUGAACUAAAUUUGCUUUAUUCAUGGACUCUUUUUCCUUCCUUGUUUUCCUGCAGUUUGCAUGUAAUUGCUACUUAGUAAAGGGAGACCCUGAAAAGUGAGCAAACUCUGUCUUGAAGUCCAGUUUGAAGGAAAAAAAAGAAAAAAAAAAAAUGAGGUGCUGAGGCUUGUUGCUCUCUAGAGCACUCUGAUAAGUUAGUGGGCUAGUUCUUGCAAGAUAGUUCUAUAGACUUCUGUUGCUUAAAGAAGGAAGAAAGACUGCUUCUGAACUGACUGUGGCAACUUUGGUCAGAAAGGGACAAUUUCUAUUACAAAGAGAGGAUUUUGUAGAUGAUAAGGUUGCUCAAGUCUGAGAUAAUUGUGUCUUUGCUAUUUGUAUUCAGUGGCAAAAGUGUGAUUCAUCUUCUGUCUUGAACGUGUUGCUUUCACAAUUGACUAUAGUCUGUCCAGAAAACUAAAUUGGAUUUAUACGCAUAAUUUCCAGGCAGACUGUGGUAGGUAAACUGAUCCCUGUCUCCCUCCUCUCUUAGCAGUAGGUUAGUGUAGUGCAAGAUGAGAUUUUUCUCCUAGAGACUUGAAUCACUGGUAUACCAGCUUCCUCUGUGAAAUCUGUGCAAUAGAGUCAGGCAUCUCAGCUGUGGCUUGAGGCAGUUGCAUAGACUCUGCAGCCUUUCCCUUAAUUGAGGACUCAGUGGGCUGAGGUGGAGGGGUAGGAAGGGAUGUCACAGAUUAUAUCAAGUUGUCCCUGGUUAUGUCAGAGUCUUGGAGAGGGGAAACCAAGUUAGGUUGUCAAAAAAAUGUGCAACAGAAAGUCACAGCCCUAAGAGAGAAUGAUGUGGGUAAAACCAAGUGUCAUGGUUGGUGUAUGAAUAAACAGAGAAGUCUAU